rnacentral:rRNA from 1 species
UGCUUAGUGGCAAAUGGGUGAGUAAUGCGUACAUAAUCUACCUUUUAGUUUGGGACAACUUUUGGAAACGAAAGCUAAUACCGAAUAUGUUUAUUUAAAGGCAUCUUUUUAUAAAUAAAGGGGCUUUCAAGCCUCGCUAAAAAAUGAGAGUGCGUCUUAUUAGUUAGUUGGUAAGGUAAUGGCUUACCAAGACUAUGAUAAGUAGCGGAGUUGAGAAGCUGAACCGCCACACUGGGACUGAGAUACGGCCCAG